GAUUGAACGCUGGCGGCAUGCCUUACACAUGCAAGUCGAACGGCAGCACGGGUGUUUGCACCUGGUGGCGAGUGGCGAACGGGUGAGUAAUACAUCGGAACAUGUCCUGUAGUGGGGGAUAGCCCGGCGAAAGCCGGAUUAAUACCGCAUACGAUCUACGGAUGAAAGCGGGGGACCUUCGGGCCUCGCGCUAUAGGGUUGGCCGAUGGCUGAUUAGCUAGUUGGUGGGGUAAAGGCCUACCAAGGCGACGAUCAGUAGCUGGUCUGAGAGGACGACCAGCCACACUGGGACUGGGACACGGCCCAGACUCCUACGGGAGGCAGCAGUGGGGAAUUUUGGACAAUGGGCGAAAGCCUGAUCCAGCAAUGCCGCGUGUGUGAAGAAGGCCUUCGGGUUGUAAAGCACUUUUGUCCGGAAAGAAAUCCUUGGCUCUAAUACAGUCGGGGGAUGACGGUACCGGAAGAAUAAGCACCGGCUAACUACGUGCCAGCAGCCGCGGUAAUACGUAGGGUGCGAGCGUUAAUCGGAAUUACUGGGCGUAAAGCGUGCGCAGGCGGUUUGCUAAGACCGAUGUGAAAUCCCCGGGCUCAACCUGGGAACUGCAUUGGUGACUGGCAGGCUAGAGUAUGGCAGAGGGGGGUAGAAUUCCACGUGUAGCAGUGAAAUGCGUAGAGAUGUGGAGGAAUACCGAUGGCGAAGGCAGCCCCCUGGGCCAAUACUGACGCUCAUGCACGAAAGCGUGGGGAGCAAACAGGAUUAGAUACCCUGGUAGUCCACGCCCUAAACGAUGUCAACUAGUUGUUGGGGAUUCAUUUCCUUAGUAACGUAGCUAACGCGUGAAGUUGACCGCCUGGGGAGUACGGUCGCAAGAUUAAAACUCAAAGGAAUUGACGGGGACCCGCACAAGCGGUGGAUGAUGUGGAUUAAUUCGAUGCAACGCGAAAAACCUUACCUACCCUUGACAUGGUCGGAAUCCCGCUGAGAGGUGGGAGUGCUCGAAAGAGAACCGGCGCACAGGUGCUGCAUGGCUGUCGUCAGCUCGUGUCGUGAGAUGUUGGGUUAAGUCCCGCAACGAGCGCAACCCUUGUCCUUAGUUGCUACGCAAGAGCACUCUAAGGAGACUGCCGGUGACAAACCGGAGGAAGGUGGGGAUGACGUCAAGUCCUCAUGGCCCUUAUGGGUAGGGCUUCACACGUCAUACAAUGGUCGGAACAGAGGGUUGCCAACCCGCGAGGGGGAGCUAAUCCCAGAAAACCGAUCGUAGUCCGGAUUGCACUCUGCAACUCGAGUGCAUGAAGCUGGAAUCGCUAGUAAUCGCGGAUCAGCAUGCCGCGGUGAAUACGUUCCCGGGUCUUGUACACACCGCC
rnacentral:rRNA from 1 species